rnacentral:lncRNA from 1 species
GUCAGAACCAUCUUCCCCUUCAAUCUCGGGCUAGCGUAACAAAAAUCGGCCGCCGCGAAGUGCCCCCUGGAUCAACGGCGACCCGGUGAUGCUUGUUUCCCGCCUACAGGUAUAAAGCGCAACUGAGCCGCACCCCCUAGAACCCAAGCCAUAGUCGUGCCUAGCCAGUCACCAUGGGAGAAGAAGGAGCUUGCGCAGAGAGAGAGAGAGGAUGGUCCGCCACCGUUGAAUCUACCACACGCUGUCACAGUGCUCCAACAAAGGGAGCAGGGAGGAGCGUUAGACCAGGCCGCACGUCCUCCGUGCUUAAUCGAGCAACGAGGGUGACUGGAGUGCGGGGAAUUGCUCACUAGAGCUAAACAUCCACCGUGGGUCCGCUGCGAGCCAAGGGUAGAGCCCUCCACGCCGCGCCAUCCGGUAAGUCACCUCCUAUCGAGUUUUUGUAUGCGUGAAUUUUGUUUUGCUCAUUUCUAGGGACGAUUUGAUCGCCAGACUGCGGGUGUCGUUUCUGCGGCCAUGGCGCCGUCGCGCUAGAUCGUGCGCCGCCGUCGGUGUCCAGCCAAUGUGGGGAGAAACCCUGUUUGACCGUUGUUGCGUGAUGAACGGGUCAGAUCAGAUAGGCGUAACGGUUCAACAGGAUCCAAUCCGAGCCAUAGAUCUUUAAGGCCUUGUUCGCUUAUUCCUAGUAUACAUGGAUUGGAUGGGAUUGGAAAAAAUUUAGAAGAACUUUGACUUGCUUGGGAUUUAAAUCCAUCCAAUCCCACUCAAUCCACAUGGAUUGAGAGCUAACCGAACAAGCCCUAAGCGGGUGGUGGGGUUUAGAUCGCGUUUAAUAACAUCUAGGCCAUCGAUCGGAGAUCCGAUGGCCGAGAGUGUGUACCGGUUUGGAUUCAAGCUGGAUCUAAUUCAAACCGCGGGAUUGUGAUAAGACGGCUGAUCUUCACCGAUACCCCUUCAGCCUGAACAUUUUCUAAAGAGCCCCUUGGCUUUACUAUAAUAAACUCGCCCUCCCCCGUAGUGCUGGGAAAUAACAGUUUGGUCCUCGGAUUUUACAAAACAUCCCAUAAUGUUUAUUAAGUAGUUCCGAAAAUUGUUUUUGCUAUAAAAAUAAAUCUAGAACCUUAGAAAAUUCAUAUCUCCUUCGUUUUAACUCUGAAUUACUCCCUUCCAGUUCCUAUAGCUUCAUAAUAAAAUUUCCUACACAGUAACAACAUUAUUUGUAAAAUAUCACAUGCUAUUAUAAUUAGAUAUUCAUUGAAUCUAAGAAUAGUAGAUUAAUCUUGCUAACCAAAGUAAAUCUGUCCAUAGUUGAAAACUAACUAAGAUAUAAAUCUAUAAUCAAGUUAUAAAUUAGAUUAAAAAGUUGAAUUAGUGGUAGAUUGGUAACUCCGAUUUUAGUGAUUCUUGAACCUAAGAUCCCGUAGCAACGCGUAGAAUAUUCUUACGCAAUUGUUUUCUCCUGUUUGGUGUACUGUUAUGUUUAUGUACUCCUUGCCCAUUUGUAUGUAUUGCUACGAGUAGCAGUGAGGUCAUGAGAAAUCUAAAGACCAACUUGGUGAAGUACCUAGAAUCUCAAGUCUAAGGCAAGUUGUGCCCUUGAUCACUCUACUUUACCCAAUAAUGUUCAUGUUAAUCACUUUGACAUGCUCAAGUUAAUUUGAUGGGACCUAAUAGGUUUCCCUAGUAUUGUUUAUCCCAUACCUUGCAAACAAAUGAACUAUUGGGUAGAUUUGCUAUUGCUCUACCUAGUUUUCGGAUUAAUGCUAUACUGAAUUAUGAUCAUGCUCCACUAUCAUUGUUGGUUUAUUAAUGUUCAUAAUAAGAUCAUUGUGUUAAUUGGAACAUGGAGAACCACCCGAGAAAAUAGUGCUACCACAAGGGUGGUAUGGGACGCCCUUGGCUGAAUAAUUAGGAAAGCUAGUGGAGGACUACCUUACCCAAAAAGGGCAAGGGCAGUAGAGGAGCUGCGGUAUAGGGAGGUUCUUGGGUCGAUCAUGCUACGAUGGCUUUUCGAACGAGUGAUUCCUAUAUCGCCCUUCUCAGAAACCGUAGCUGGUUUUCUAAAGCUAGUGGAACUUUGUAAAGGCCUCAUAGUGCUACCCUGUCUCGUCUCCUCGGUAGAGAUGUAUGGGAUUCAUGACCCUGUGGCAAAUAGGUAACACGACUUGUAGGUAAAGAUGAGCAACCUCUGUAGAGUGUAAAAUUGGUAUAUCAGUCGUGCUCACGGUCAUGAGCGGCUCAAACACUCACAUUAUUAACUUAUGGAAAUAAACUUAAUUUGUCAUAUGCAUUGCAUUGUGGGUGUUAUUAUUAAUUGUGAUCUCUUAUUUAUUUAGGUUGGUAUUUAAUUAUACUUUGUAACUGAUAAUAAAACUUUGACCAACUUUAAAAGCAACGUCAGCUUUAACCUUCUCCUUGGUAAGCCUUACACUUCACAUGAGCCUCCGCCGUAAGAGAGCUCAUGCACAUUAUUCCCCACAACUUGUUGACCGAUGAACGUAUGUGAGCUCACCCUUGCUGUACUCACAUCCCCCCAGGUCCAGAACAGGUACCUUCAAGAUGAGGAGCAUGAAGGAGGUCGUGAUGAUGUUCGUGAGAGGUCUAGGUCAUCGUCUCCCAGACAACUAUGGCUGCUGGAUCGUUGUCUCCUUAUGAUGUAAUUAUUUAACUAUUUUGUACAUAACUCCAUUAUAUAUUAAAGAUGUGGCAUUCGUUUCUGUACCAUGUGUCAUCAAAUGUGUGAGACUUGAUCCUAGCACACAUUUGAUUCGCACCCGGGUUGGCCCUUAAAUCCGGGUGUGACCCAUAUCUUCUUAAUCUUCAAUCUUAUGCUCAAGCAAUCCAAUUGCUUUCAUCUUUGGCAUCUUUCUUAGCUUUCGAAGCUUUACUCAAAAUAAGUCUGUGUAUAUUGCAAUGGUUAAGUCCAAAAAACAAUAGACAAAGUUUUAUCUAUAAAAGAUAAUUUGCAAGGCCAAAUAAGCCAUACAAUCUGCGAGUUGGUCUUUCGGCGUAGCAGAUAGCCCGCAUUCCAACUUUAGAUAAACCAUUUUGUCCAUCAUCUCACGGCAUACUUCAAGUUCCCUAUUGUCCAAAAGACAGUAGAGAUAAUCAUCCUCAUCAUUAUCACCGUAAAAAAGCGAGCCCGAGGGGUAUUUCAAAUCUUCGACAUAAUCUUGGACUUUGGCAAUCUAGGUCGCAGUUAGUUUUCCCCUAGAGGCGUGCCGAAUAAUGUACUCAUGUCGUCUAGGCGGUACCACCUCAACCGCCAUCAUAGUUGUUUCUUCUUUAGAACCUUCGGCUUUAGAACCUUUGGCUUCCUCCCUUUCUUUUUCGUUAAGAGCAUCGGCUAUAAUAUAAGUUUUCGAAGCACCAGCUUUGUCCAAGUUAAGAUUAAUCGUUG